GUUUAGAGUAAAUUACAGAAAUGGUUCUUGUGUUUUGGUUUUAUAUUCAAUUUUGUUUCCUAAUUUAAAAAUUAAUAAUUUUGUUUCCGCUCUACCGCAACAGACGUUGACAGCUCUUCCUCCACCACUGCAAACUUCACCUUCUCUCUUCUAUUCUCUCUCUACACCGGUGGUCCGUCUGCGGUCGUGGCAUAUCGACAAACUAGCGUUCGACGUACCGUUCAAGGCACCAAUCGACGACGUUCCUUAAUUUCCUACAGAGACCAACCUUUGGCGCUCACCAUCGACACCAUCAUCCAUCUGUAAGCCCUAAAAAUCAUGUCCCUUGGAUCGUUUAUAUUUAAUUAGUUUCUCUCCUGGCAGCAAUGAAGGUCGUCUUUGAUAAAUAUGAGAGAGUUUCUGUUGGGUUUCUCUAAAUUUGCUCCAUUUACAAAAUCGAUGAUGGGUUUGAGGCAAAACCUGUGUAACAGCCAUCUGAAUGUGAUUGGGUUCAGUUGUGAUGGACACAAGGUGACUUUUUAUCAGUUCUCACUUCUAAUCUGCUUAACCAUUUGGUUAGUAAAAAAACUGAAAAUUUUCAAUUUGUUUACUUACAUUAUUGAUAUGUUAAAUUCUUAAAUUUUUUUCCUGCUCCAAAAGUAGACAGGUACUCUAAAAGAACUAUCUAGAACAAACUUUCCAAAAAUUGCACCUAACCUGUUUGAUGAAAUGCCUCAAUGAGGCAUAGAGUUUUAUUUUGAGAAACAAGAAUCUUUCAAAGCAUUAAUGGUCUUCUUUUGUGAAUCUUCUUUAGUAUUUCAGUUGUCAUUUUAUAUGUCUUCUAUUUCUUUUUACCAAUACCAAAUUUGGCAAUCUUAAAAACAUAAUUCUUUUCGGGUUUGUUGAAUUGGUUUUUCAUUUUAUUUUAAAAAACAUUGACCAUAUUUCAUGAAGAUGAAAAUGAAAGCAUUUGACACUUGAAUUAAGAUUUGGGCAUUCUUUUUGGAAUUCAGACCAAAGCUUUUCUUUAUAUGCUGCCUGCCACUACUUAUAUUCAGUAUUGGGUAUGUUAUUCUUUUUUUUUUCAAUUUCAGUUUUUCUUUUUCAUAUUAGGUUAUAGUAAACAUAUGUAUAUUUCCACUUUUUUGUCACUUACUGUUGGGACUGGGGAUACCAAAUCUACCUGCAAAUGUCAUACAAUUCACUUACAAUCCUCAACGGUUUGAUUGGAUUCCUGAGUUGGAAAGAGGUAGUUAUAAUUUUCAUCUUUUGGUAUGUGCAAAUUAAUAGUCGAAUUGCACAGGAACGUUUUUUUUUAAUAUUUUCAUUAUAUUUCCUCAGAUGGUACUCGAAUAGCAUAGGAACGAUUUUUCCUUUAUUUUCAUUAUAUUUUCCACAGAUGAUACUUUACAAUGUUGAAGUAGAUCUAUUAGAAAUUAAAAGGAUAAAAAAUCUGUUUUAAAAUCUUAAACAUCAUGUUCUCCUGAGAAAUAAGCAAUCAAAUGCAGCGUUUGUCUAAUGUUAUGAUUUUCGCACCCCAGGUGUCUGAUGGAAUGUGACGGAGGAAAAGGCAAAUUCAUAUAGUGAUUUUGAUAACUUUCAUUACGUAUUGGUUUUGGAUUAUGUUUGGGUGUUUCUUUACUAACCAGCUAUGUUUAUCCAGCGUAUACAACUUUCGUAUGAGAAAUUGAAGGGGAAGGAGAAAGCCAUGAGAAUAAAGAAGGGUAUUAUGGUUUAUCAAUUCUUUCUUCCACUCCAAAGUAGCCCACUUUCUGCUAAAAGAUCAAAUGGCAUGAACAUAAUCAGGCUCUCUAACUUCCAUUAGAUAACCCAAUUACUAAAAAUGUUAACAAACAGCAACAUAGUGAUGAAAAAAAAUCCUAUUACACCAAGUCCUUUAUACCCACAAAUUUGAAGACCAUUGAUUCAAGUUUAUAGCGAUUUCUCACGUUCCACUAAUUUUAAGUUGGUUUGAUUUUUUACUUCUUCGUAUCUCAACUUCCAUUUUUUGUUUUCCGUUGUCUAAUUCUUCUGAUCUUCAUUUCAAAUUGUAUAUAACGGAUCAGGUAAUGCACCUAUCUUCUUGAGUUUGAGUAGUAAAAAAAAUGGCCAAAAUUGUCUCAACAUAUUCCAAGUAUCUGUAAGGAGAAAACAUAAAUAGAUUGCAGCAGAUCAAGGGACCUAUACCGACCGCAAGGAUUCUGCUGACAUGGAUGGAGGACAGGGGCAAAAUGGGAAUAAAGUUUAGACCUUUGGGAUGAACAUCCAUGAAGAAAUUGGCCAGACGAUUCACUAUUAUGAGAACUUUGUUAACUGAUAGCAACCUCCGCCCCCCGCGGAGCGAGGGAACACCCUCUAGUUUUAAUAGAGUUUGUAUAGAUUCUAUAUAAAUUUUUUUUAUUUUUUCAAUAUAUAUAUAUAUAUAUA